GACGAACGCUGGCGGCGUGCCUAAUAAAUGCAAGUAGGACGCCGUUGCGAACGGGUGAGUAACGCGUAGGUAACUAACUAUUAGAGGGGGAUAACUACUGGUAACGAUAGCUAAUACCGAAUACUAGUAGAUGGAAUUUAGUUGUAUUAGCUAGUAGGUGGGGUAAGGGCCUACGUAGGCAACGAUACAUAGCCGACCUGAUAGCGUGAUCUGCCAUACUGGGACUGAGACACGGCCCACACUCCUACGGGAGGCAGCAGUAGGGAAUCUUCGGCAAUGGACGAAAGUCUGACCUAGCAACGCCGCGUGAGUGAAGAAGGUUUUCGGAUCGUAAAGCUCUUUUGGUAGAGAAGCGUUAUCUAACCAGAAAGCAACGGCUAACUACGUGCCAGCAGCCGCGGUAAUUC
rnacentral:rRNA from 1 species